rnacentral:rRNA from 1 species
AGUGAACGCUGGCGGCGUGCUUAACACAUGCAAGUCGAACGAGAACGGAUCUAGCUUGCUAGAUUGUCAGCUAAGUGGCGCACGGGUGAGUAAUAUAUAGAUAACAUGCCUUAGAGAAGGGGAUAACAUUUGGAAACGAAUGCUAACACCCUAUAUGCCUUUAAUACAGAAGUAUGCAAGGGAAAUAUUUAUAGCUCUAAGAUUGGUCUGUACGGUAUCAGAUAGUUGGUGAGGUAAUGGCUCACCAAGUCAAUGACGCCUAACUGGUUUGAGAGGAUGAUCAGUCACACUGGAACUGAGACACGGUCCAGACUCCUACGGGAGGCAGCAGUGGGGAAUAUUGCACAAUGGGGGAAACCCUGAUGCAGCAACGCCGCGUGGAGGAUGACACAUUUCGGUGCGUAAACUCCUUUUAUAUCUGAAGAUAAUGACGGUAGGAUAUGAAUAAGCUCCGGCUAACUCCG